rnacentral:rRNA from 1 species
ACGCACGCUGGCGGCGUGCUUAACCCAUGCAAGUCGUACGGUAAGGCCCUUUCGGGGGUCCACGAGUGGCGAACGGGUGAGUAACACGUGAGUAACCUGCCCACAACUUUGGGAUAACGCUAGGAAACUGGUGCUAAUACUGGAUAUGUGCUCCUGCUGCAUGGUGGGGGUUGGAAAGCUCCGGCGGUUGUGGAUGGACUCGCGGCCUAUCAGCUUGUUGGUGGGGUAGUGGCCUACCAAGGCGGCGACGGGUAGCCGGCCUGAGAGGGUGACCGGCCACAUUGGGACUGAGAUACGGCCCAGACUCCUACGGGAGGCAGCAGUGGGGAAUAUUGCACAAUGGGCGCAAGCCUGAUGCAGCAACGCCGCGUGCGGGAUGACGGCCUUCGGGUUGUAAACCGCUUUCAGCAGGGACGAAGCUUUUUGUGACGGUACCUGCAGAAGAAGCACCGGCUAACUACGUG